rnacentral:rRNA from 1 species
UACGGGGGGGGGCAAGCGUUGUUCGGAAUUACUGGGCGUAAAGGGCUCGUAGGCGGCCAACUAAGUCAGACGUGAAAUCCCUCGGCUUAACCGGGGAACUGCGUCUGAUACUGGAUGGCUUGAGAUUGGGAGAGGGAUGCGGAAUUCCAGGUGUAGCGGUGAAAUGCGUAGAUAUCCGGAGGAACACCAGUGGCGAAGGCGACUUUCUGGCCUGUUCUUGACGCUGAGGCGCGAAAGCUAGGGGAGCAAACGGGG